rnacentral:rRNA from 1 species
UACGAAGGGGGCUAGCGUUUGGUUCGGAAAGUUACUGGGCGUGAAAGCGCACGUAGGCGGACAUUUAAGUCAGGGGUAGAAAGUCCCGGGGCUCAACCCCGGAACUGCCUUUGAUACUGGGUGUUCUUGAGUGUGGUAGAGGUGAGUGGAAUUGCGAGUGUAGAGGAUGAAAUUCGUAGAUAUUCGCAGGAACACCAGUGGCGAAGGCGGCUCACUGGACCACAACUGACGCUGAGGUGCGAAAGCGUGGGGAGCAAACAGG